rnacentral:rRNA from 1 species
AUUGAACGCUGGCGGCAGGCUUAACACAUGCAAGUCGAGCGAGCGGCGGACGGGUAAGUAAUGUCUGGGAAACUGCAUGAUGGAGGGGGAUAAAUACUGGAAAAGGUAGCUAAUACCGCAUACCAUCAGAUGUGCCCAGAUGGGAUUAACCAGUAGGUGGGGUAAUGGCGCACCUAGGCGACGAUCCAUAGCGGGUCUGAGAGGAUGACCAGCCACACUGGAACUUAGACACGGGCCAGACUCCUACGGGAGGCAGCAGUGGGGAAUAUUCCACAAGGGGCGCAAGCCUGAUGCAGCCAUGCCGAGUGUGUGAAGAAGGCCUUCGGGUUGUAAAGCACUUUCAGCGAGGAGGCGUUACUCGCAGAAGAAGCACCGGCUAACUCCGUGCCAGCAGCCGCGGUAAUAC